CCUCACAGCGCGCAGGUUCCAGGGUGCACCCGAGGCUCCGCAAAUGCUGAGCUUCGCAGGAGCGUGGUUUUCCCCGGCUGUGUCCACCGAAGUGACCGCAGGGGAGAGGUUUUAGCUCCUGAGAGACAAGAGGGGACCUGAAUGGGUGGCUGCGGAUUCCACUUGACAGAAGAAAUUUUAUACAGCAGAAUCAUGAGGGUCUCACUAAGUUUCCCAGGCUGGACGUGGACUUGUGAUCCUCCUGCAUUAGCCUCCCAAGCAGCUGGAUUAUAGGCAUGCACCCCCAUGCUUGGCUUGCUAGUGUUUUGUGGUUCUCUCCUUCAGUGCUCAAAGCCUUAAUAAAUAAAGGUU
ensembl:lncRNA